AUAAGUGCCACGAGAGCGUGACAACAAGUGCGUGAAAAAAAAAAUAAUUUCGCUUCGCGCGAGAUACACAGCGGUUUACAAGGCUCCAGGAAGUCGAGCUGGCGGGUCUGACGCCGCGACGUCGGCUCUUGACGAGCUUGCGCCGAGCUCGGCAGCGUUCAGUCACCGACGAGACGCAGCAACGCGCAAUCACACGAUCCUCUUCCUUUCGCUCGUCUAAUCAGCGCUCGUCUCUCAAUCCUCAUCAGACCAACGACGAUUCUAACGCCAGUAUGACGAAUACAACGACGCCGAAGCGAAAGAGUUCGCUGAAGAUUCCUAUACAAAAUGACGAGACGAGGAAUCUCCUGACGACCUAUUGCAUCUUAUUGCUACUGCUAAUCUCACUUUAUCUACUGUAUUCUGGCAUAUUUUAAAGCACAUAUUAGAGAUUAGUAUUAUGGGUUGACGCGCGAGGAAGCGGACUAUGCAUGCGUGCGAGUAUGAAACUACACAUUGAAAAAAUAGAAAAAGCAGAGCUCUACAAUAAUCUCGUUAAUGGAUUAAAAUUCAACAUACAAGAGUGAAGAAGAAGAAAAAGCUGAGUCGAGCCGAGUAAAUCGAGGAAGAAGCGCGAGUGGCUAAAUUUAAAGCGAUCGUUUAUGAGUUUAAGACGCCAGAUAAAUAUUACGAAGCGUUAAACUCCUGUCCUCUGGAUUCCAAUCGAGAACGAUCUGGAUUGAACUAUAUUCGCAUGCGCCGCCUCGAAAAUCUCUUCGCUGGCAUUCCACUCGACCUUGUCACCAUUCCGAUUGGAUUUCUUUUUCUUUUCUCUAUCCCCGACGCGACGACGUUGCUCAAUGCACUUUGUGCCCAUUCGACGCUAAUCGAAGUCAAUUGACGGAGAGCCCACAACUUAUUAUUAAAAUCGACAAUCUUUUUUGGAUACUUUCGAAUUUUGAAAUACAAACAAGCUUUGAUGAACAUUUAUCUUUCGACCAGCAAGUCCAACGGAAAAGAGAAAGAAAAAUAGUUUCUCUCCGAGUAGACAGUAAAAUAACAGUUCGGAAGACGUUUCUCCCGCCUGCAUCUCCGCGCGCGUGCGUCAAAAAGUACAUUUUAUUUUCCACGUGGGGCAGAGAGGGGAAGGGGGUACGAAAGCUCGCUGCCGGGUAGCGAAGAAUUCCAAAGUAAAGGAAAAACAUUGAGGCGCACGCAUGCAUCGCUGCCGCGCAAAAGCCGCCAGGCGUGGGCGCGAUCGCUCGAAAAUAGCCGAUACUUUCAGAUAGCCGAGCGCCACCCAAGAGAAUCCGAUCUAUAUUUUCUGAGCUUCCUCCAGAAAUAGACGGGCUUGGCCAGUGAACGCUUUCAUGCGAGGAACGAGAAAAAAAGAAAGCCGAUAUCACCUGGCUACAUGUAGGUAGGCGACGGAUAGCACACGCGAAAAAUACUCUUUGUUAUACGUUCGUUUGGAUCUUCUUGUUUAAUGUAAGGUACGUAUUAUUGUAAGUUUGAUCGUUGUUAUGACAUUUUUUUUAAUUUAUAACGUGUGAUCGCGCCACAACACGCGCUUCCCGUUGUGUGACUAUUUACUUUAGAGCUUAUCGAAUUUCAUGUUCAACAGAAUACGGAUGGAACUGUGUAACGCUUUUCUCGCUGAGGCUUAAACAGUUUUCCUACACGCAUAUUUUGUCGACAAAUAACAUGUAUAUUUUUAUACAAUAAGCCAUCAAUAGCUGCAUAAAUAAAGCAACAGAUUACAUGAAUAUAUUUAGUCUACAGAGUUCGAGAUUUUUGUAUAAUCGCAAGUUUUUAUACUCACACGUAGGCACAUACUAAUUUGCUACAAGUGUACGUAUGGUACUUCGUGAGUGCACAUCCAGAAGCUCAUUGAACGUUGUUACGAAGCGAAAAAUACGCUGAUACGAUGGCUAUUGAGAGCACUAUUUUUAGAGUGUAUUGCAGAGGUGUUUGACGUAUUAAAAAUCCUUGCUCUUUCCUAUCGAGUGUGCUUAUUUUUAAUACAUCCCAUAGAUAUCUAAUUAUCAAUUCAGUAUGUUGGUCAAGUGUAAAUUCAAAAAUUACAAAUGUAAAAUUGCAGAAAAAACAUUUUUAUACGUGAUAAACAUUUUAUUACACGGCCGUUAAUUGGUCAAAUCCAAAAUCUCACUCUGUAAUGCUAUAUUACACACAAUGCAUGACUAGUUUAACCUUAUUAUAUUGUUGAAUAUAACAGAUCAUAUAUAUGAUAUAAUUAUCGUUUGUGCCUCGUCAAGUUAUGUAUUACAUUUUCUAAACUAAAGAUUGUAUACUAGUUUUAUGAUAUAUUACAGAAUAAAUGAACGAAAAUACUAUUUGGAACAAACUGGUCUAUUAUCAAGUGUGCAGUCCAAUGUUUAACAUUUUGGAUAUUUACUCGACUGUAAUAGCAUAGCAUGCUAUUCUGGAUAAGCGAUAUUCAUUUGUUUCUUAAAAUCGAAAAUUUAUUGAUAAUAUUAUAUAUCAUUCAUAUUUAUUAUGCCAUAUGAUAAUAACAUGAGCAUUCAGUGUUACAAUUAAAUUACAAUACUGGGCCGCUGGAUAAAAACAAGCUAUUGCGGCAAUACUAAUUCAACGCUAUACAAACCAUUUAAUUAGAUUCAUUCAGCUCUAACUACUUGUGAAAUUGUUCAUUCGCUGACCGUAGCUUUGCAUUUAUUUAUUUCGUUGAAUGUAAUAGACUAUUUAUUUAUUUAUAAAAAAAAACAAGAAACAAAAAAAUUUCAGCACUACAAUAUUAAAUGACUCUUAAAUAAGUACCUAAAUAUCUUGUAAAUUUUUUUUCAUUAAAUUAAACUUUCAAAGUGUGAAUUCAUAAAUGAAUAGUGGAUUCAAUGUUAUAAAACCAAGUAAGGCGUAAGUUUUUACGAGCACAAGCUUAAUUUUCUGAAGAGUGUCCACAAGCCCCCUUGUACUCUCAAAAAAUUAGAGUGCCUCCUAUGCCAGUAGCACCUUUAUACUUAAUCGUUAACGACAGUGCAUUUUCGUACAGAUCUUCAGUCUCUCGCCAAGAGUUAAAAAUUCUGUUAUUUUUAGAGCGACUUGCCGGAUUAAACGUAUCCGGAUAAAAAAAUUUAGGAUUCGUCUGAUACUAUCCAUGGUGUUGAAUCUGUGCUACCGGUAUCAUAAUUGUAUCUCUAGAUUUUUGACAGUACGUCAUUCCAUCGUUACCUAUUAACAUUUAUUUCUUCAACGUAGCAUUUUGAUUUGAACGCUGUCAACGGCGUGAAGCGCAUAGACUCGUGUAACACCUGAUUGAGUUAAGUAAUGUUUUUCAAAGACUCUUAAAUUAUAUAUCAGUUGGUAUCUUUUAGCACAGAUAUAAUGUGAUCUCGUGAUUUUGUUUGCAUUUUGGAAUUCCGGGACAAAAUAUAAAAAAAAUUGACAGCUGCUAACGGUAGAUAAGACUGUAUAGAUAUGUUACAAAUUCUUCGAAGUUUAUUUCAAUUUUGCACGUCUAAGCAACAUAACUUUAUGUAUAAGUUUAAAUCGCUUAAAUAAAUAAACAUUUUGCAUGUCUCUUUUAAUAAAUGUCUUUCAUAUUUUGUUAUAUAUUGAAGUAAGUAAUUGUAUUUAGGAAAAGAGAAUA